GAUGAACGCUGGCGGCGUGCUUAACACAUGCAAGUCGAACGAGAAGUGGAGACGGAAACCUUCGGGCGGAAGACUUUACUUCGAGUGGCGGACGGGUGAGUAACGCGUGGGUAACCUGCCUCAUACAGGGGGAUAACAGUUGGAAACGACUGUUAAUACCGCAUCAGACCACAGCACCGCAUGGUGCGGGGGUAAAAACUCCGGUGGUAUGAGAUGGACCCGCGUUCGAUUAGCCAGUUGGCGGGGUAACGGCCCACCAAAGCGACGAUCGAUAGCCGAUCUGAGAGGAUGACCGGCCACAUUGGGACUGAGACACGGCCCAAACUCCUACGGGAGGCAGCAGUGGGGAAUAUUGCACAAUGGGGGAAACCCUGAUGCAGCGACGCCGCGUGAGUGAAGAAGUAUUUCGGUAUGUAAAGCUCUAUCAGCAGGGAAGAAAAUGACAGUACCUGAGGAAGAAGCCCCGGCUAACUACGUG
rnacentral:rRNA from 1 species